UACGUAGGGGGCAAGCGUUAUCCGGAUUUACUGGGUGUAAAGGGAGCGCAGACGGAACUGCAAGUCUGAUGUGAAAGCCCGGGGCUCAACCGCGGGACAGCAUCGGAUACUGUAGAUCUGGAGUGCCGGAGGGGCAAGCGGAAUUCCUGGUGUAGCGGUGAAAUGCGCAGAUAUCAGGAGGAACACCGAUGGCGAAGGCAGGUCUCUGGGCCACUACUGACGCUGAGAAGCGAAAGCAUGGGGAGCGAACAGGA
rnacentral:rRNA from 1 species